rnacentral:rRNA from 1 species
CCUACGGGAGGCAGCAGUAGGGAAUCUUCCACAAUGGGCGAAAGCCUGAUGGAGCAACGCCGCGUGGGUGAAGAAGGUCUUCGGAUCGUAAAACCCUGUUGUUAGAGAAGAAAGUGCGUGAGAGUAACUGUUCACGUUUCGACGGUAUCUAACCAGAACGCCACGGCUAACUACGUGCCAGCAGCUGCGGUAAUACGUAGGUGGCAAGCGUUAUCCGGAUUUAUUGGGCGUAAAGGGAACGCAGGCGGUCUUUUAAGUCUGAUGUGAAAGUCUUCGGCUUAACCGGAGUAGUGCAUUGGAAACUGGGGGACUUGAGUGCAGAAGAGGAGAGUGGAACUCCAUGUGUAGCGGUGAAAUGCGUAGAUAUAUGGAAGAACACCAGUGGCGAAAGCGGCUCUCUGGUCUGUAACUGACGCUGAGGUUCGAAAGCGUGGGUAGCAAACAGGAUUAGAUACCCCUGUAGUC